AGAGUUUGAUUAUGGCUCAGGAUGAACGCUAGCUACAGGCUUAACACAUGCAAGUCGAGGGGUAGCAGGAUCUAGCAAUAGAUCGCUGACGACCGGACGCACGGGUGAGUAACACGUAUCCAGCCUUCGUUUACUCGGGAUAGCCUUUCGAAAGAAAGAUUAAUACCCGAUAGUAUGUUUCUUCCGACAUGGGAGAACCAUUAAAGUUUUUCGGUAAUCGAUGGGGGAUGCGUCCCAUUAGGCAGUUUGGUGAGGUAACGGCUCACCAAACCUUCGAUGGAUAGGGGUUCUGAGAGGAAGGUCCCCCCACAUUGGAACUGAGACACGGUCCAAACUCCUACGGGAGGCAGCAGUGAGGAAUAUUGGUCAAUGGACGAGAGUCUGAACCAGCCAAGUAGCGUAGAAGGAUGACUGCCCUAUGGGUUGUAAACUUCUUUUAUAUGGGAAUAAAGGAGCCUACGUGUAGGUUUUUGUAUGUACCUUAUGAAUAAGGAUCGGCUAACUCCGUGCCAGCCGCUGC
rnacentral:rRNA from 1 species